UUUGUAUUAUGAUGAAAAAUGGAGUAUGGAGCACCGAUGUAAACAAGGGCAACUUCUGAUGAUUGAACCAAUUGGAGAGGAACCGAAAGCUAAGAAUGUGGACUCCGAUCAUGAAGGUAUAAAUUCUAAUGAAGAUGUCGGACCUACCAUAUAUAUAAUGCAUGCAUUAGCCGACUACUCUAACCCGCAAACUAUGAAA
rnacentral:lncRNA from 1 species